GAGAAUCUAGUUAAAUUAUAAUAUUGGCUUGUCAAGCCUAAGUUACCCUAAGGGUGAUUCUCU
rnacentral:tRNA from 1 species